UCAAAUCUUGAAGCAUUUUAGUGGCGGACGGGUGAGUAACGCGUGGGUAACCUGCCCUGUACAGGGGGACAACAGUUGGAAACGACUGCUAAUACCGCAUGAUGCAUAGGGAUCGCAUGAUUCUUAUGCCAAAGAUUUAUCGCUGAAAGAUGGCCUCGCGUCUGAUUAGCUAGUUGGUGAGGUAACGGCCCACCAAGGCGACGAUCAGUAGCCGGACUGAGAGGUUGAACGGCCACAUUGGGACUGAGAUACGGCCCAGACUCC
rnacentral:rRNA from 1 species